GUUACUUUGGCGAGUGGUUAAGGCGUGUGCCUGCUAAGUACAUGGGGUUUCCCCUGGAGAGUUCGAAUCUCUCAGGCAACG
rnacentral:tRNA from 1 species